rnacentral:rRNA from 1 species
UACGUAGGGCGCAAGCGUUAUCCGGAAUUAUUGGGCGUAAAGAGCUCGUAGGCGGCUUGUCGCGUCGAAUGUGAAAUCUCAGGGCUCAACUCUGACAUUGCAUUCGAUACGGGCAGGCUAGAGUUCGGUAGGGGAGACUGGAAUUCCUGGUGUAGCGGUGGAAUGCGCAGAUAUCAGGAGGAACACCAAUGGCGAAGGCAGAUCUCUGGGCCGUAACUGACGCUGAGGAGCGAAAGCAUGGGGAGCGAACAGG